GGGAGGGUCGCCGAAGGCCUUCGUAGGGUGCCGAAGGGCCGGAGCAGGGGCUCCGCCCUCCGGACCCUCUGUUUCGUUCGAUAUGGCUAUUUGGCCCCAGUAUGAAAAGAUUCCCGAUUUCCUCUAUGGCGAGAUUGAUCCUUUCUGCUGGAGCUCGUUUAAAGGCGUGUUCGGGUUGUUAGGAUAUAAAUAGAUCACCCUUGCCUGACUUCAAUCGACGUUGAGCAAAGGCUGGGGUUGUACCAGGUUUCUCGAGGUACAGUGCAAUCAUUUCACCAAUCUCUCAUUUCAACGUUAAGGUUCAUGUCGAUUCUGCUUGUUGAUCGACUCAAUCCGGGUCUGUCAGGGCCCCUUUUUUUAUUUUGAAAAUUUUAAGUGAAGUCGGUAAGAGGUUUGCUGACUUUACUUUAAAUUUUCAAAAAAGGGGCCCAAAUUUUAAGUGAAGUCGGAAAACCUCUUGUCGACUUCACUAAAAAUUUUCAAAACAAAAAAAGAGCCCCAACGGACCUCUAAUUCGAACAUCAUAGGGGUCUGAAGGGCGGAGCCCCUACUCUAGCCCUUUGGCGCCCCUCUAGCGCCCUCCGGAGGCUUCUAGAGGCCCUCCCUCUCCCUCUUCCUCUCGCCUCUUUUCCUCUCUUUCCUUCUUCCUCUCCUCCCACCUGCUGGUUCACCAUUUUGAAUGUCGGAACCGUCUUGGUUUGCCGCCAGAAUCGUCCUGGUCUGCUGCCGGCAUGGCUCGGUACGCCUUGAACCGGGCGAUUAUGGACGGUUCCGCAUUCCUUGCUUGAGAUACUUAUUAGCUUUGUGAAUGGAAACAAUUGAUAUCUUGAAAUCUUUUUAAUUACUUUUUGGUACUUUUAGAUUAAUGACAUCUCAUUGUUGAAGUAUUGAG
rnacentral:lncRNA from 1 species